AUACUGCUGAGGAGUCCCACAAUAGGACGAAACGGCCGUCCAGUGC
rfam:Schistosoma rodhaini strain Burundi genome assembly, scaffold: SROB_scaffold0001088